GUGGAUUAGAUACCCUGGUAGUCCACGCCGUAAACGAUGAAUGUUAGUUGUUGGGGGGUUCCCUCUCAGUGACGUAGCUAACGCAUUAAACAUUCCGCCUGGGGAGUACGGCCGCAAGGUUAAAACUCAAAGAAAUUGACGGGGACCCGCACAAGCGGUGGAGCAUGUGGUUUAAUUCGAGGCAACGCGAAGAACCUUACCAGGCCUUGACAUGUCCAGUUUGGAUUCCAGAGAUGGAUUCCUUCACCUCGGGUGGCUGGAACACAGGUGCUGCACGGCCGUCGUCAACU
rnacentral:rRNA from 1 species